rnacentral:rRNA from 1 species
AGAGUUUGAUCAUGGCUCAGAACGAACGCUGGCGGCAUGCCUAACACAUGCAAGUCGAACGAGGGCUUCGGCCCUAGUGGCGCACGGGUGAGUAACGCGUGGGAACCUGCCCUGUGGUACGGAAUAACUCCGGGAAACUGGAGCUAAUACCGUAUGCGUCCUUUGGGACAAAGAUUUAUCGCCAUGGGAUGGGCCCGCGUAGGAUUAGCUUGUUGGUGGGGUAACGGCCUACCAAGGCUUCGAUCCUUAGCUGGUCUGAGAGGAUGAUCAGCCACACUGGGACUGAGACACGGCCCAGACUCCUACGGGAGGCAGCAGUGGGGAAUAUUGGACAAUGGGCGCAAGCCUGAUCCAGCAAUGCCGCGUGAGUGAUGAAGGCCUUCGGGUUGUAAAGCUCUUUCGCACGCGACGAUGAUGACGGUAGCGUGAGAAGAAGCCCCGGCUAACUUCGUGCCAGCAGCCGCGGUAAUACGAAGGGGGCUAGCGUUGUUCGGAAUUACUGGGCGUAAAGGGCGCGUAGGCGGUACUUCAAGUCAGGCGUGAAAGCCCCGGGCUCAACCUGGGAACCGCGCUUGAGACUGGAGAACUAGAGUUCGGGAGAGGAUGGUGGAAUUCCCAGUGUAGAGGUGAAAUUCGUAGAUAUUGGGAAGAACACCGAUGGCGAAGGCAGCCAUCUGGACCGACACUGACGCUGAGGCGCGAAAGCGUGGGGAGCAAACAGGAUUAGAUACCCUAGUAGUCC